rnacentral:snRNA from 1 species
GUUUGAUGAUGAAAAAAUGUCCAAGUGACAUGAUUUUAAACCCAGCUCAGUCGAU